rnacentral:rRNA from 1 species
GUCAGCUACAAGGCUCACGGCGAUACUUGGCACAAGCAUGGAAGGACCUGUAACUGCAUAGUCUCGGGACUGAAACAGCUUGAUCGAAUC